AAUCAACGCUGGCGGCGUGCCUCAGACAUGCAAGUCGAACGAUUAAAGCUCCCUUCGGAGAGUGUAUAGAGUGGCGCACGGGUGAGUAACACGUAAGUAAUCUACCUUUGAGUGGGGAAUAACAGUCGGAAACGACUGCUAAUACCGCAUAAUGCAGCGGCAUCGCAAGAUGACAGUUGUUAAAGGAGCAAUCCGCUUAAAGAGGAGCUUGCGGCAGAUUAGCUAGUUGGUAAGGUAAUGGCUUACCAAGGCUACGAUCUGUAUCCGGUCUAAGAGGACGGUCGGACACACUGACACUGAAUAACGGGUCAGACUCCUACGGGAGGCAGCAGUCGGGAAUUUUGGGCAAUGGGCGAAAGCCUGACCCAGCAACGCCGCGUGAAGGAUGAAGUAUUUCGGUAUGUAAACUU
rnacentral:rRNA from 1 species